rnacentral:rRNA from 1 species
UACGUAGGGGGCUAGCGUUGUCCGGAAUCAUUGGGCGUAAAGAGCGUGUAGGCGGCCCGGUAAGUCCGCUGUGAAAGUCGGGGGCUCAACCCUCGAAUGCCGGUGGAUACUGUCGGGCUAGAGUGCGGAAGAGGCGAGUGGAAUUCCUGGUGUAGCGGUGAAAUUCGUAGAUAUUAGGAAGAACACCAGUGGCGAAGGCGGCUCACUGGCUCGGUACUGACGCUGAGGCGCGAAAGCGUGGGGAGCAAACAGG